GAUCAUGGCUCAGAACGAACGCUGGCGGCAUGCCUAACACAUGCAAGUCGAACGAGACCUUCGGGUCUAGUGGCGCACGGGUGCGUAACGCGUGGGAAUCUGCCCUUUGCUUCGGAAUAACAGUUAGAAAUGACUGCUAAUACCGGAUGAUGUCUUCGGACCAAAGAUUUAUCGGCAAAGGAUGAGCCCGCGUAGGAUUAGGUAGUUGGUGGGGUAAAGGCCUACCAAGCCGACGAUCCUUAGCUGGUCUGAGAGGAUGAUCAGCCACACUGGGACUGAGACACGGCCCAGACUCCUACGGGAGGCAGCAGUGGGGAAUAUUGGACAAUGGGCGCAAGCCUGAUCCAGCAAUGCCGCGUGAGUGAUGAAGGCCUUCGGGUCGUAAAGCUCUUUUACCAGGGAUGAUAAUGACAGUACCUGGAGAAUAAGCUCCGGCUAACUCCGUG
rnacentral:rRNA from 1 species